CGGGGCGUGGCGCAGCUUGGUAGCGCGCUUGCAUGGGGUGCAAGAGGUCCCGAGUUCAAAUCUCGGCGCCCCGA
rnacentral:tRNA from 1 species